UGUGUUGAUCUAGCAUAACUUGUAGCUCAGC
rnacentral:piRNA from 1 species